ensembl:lncRNA
GUGGUAAAGAAGUACCUGUGUCCCUCCACUGAGUGGUACCCCAAUACCCCAAGGAGCAUGUGUGCUACUAAGGAUGUUAAAAAACAGCUAUUUUUAUCAGAUGCUGGUGAAGAGGGUUCACCAGAUCACCGCGAUGGUGGUAUUGUGCUGGAUGGGUUGGAUGCAACAGGCCACUAGCUAUAGAAAAUGAACAGGUGUAUGCUGAUCAUCCCCCACAUGAAGAAGCCAACACAGAGUGCGGUUAUUUAAAUUGUGUACAACCCGAACAUGGUUUUGACAAACGACUGGAUUGAAUCUGACCUUACUGCCACAUCGGGGGCCCGACAGUGAGCCGGUUACAGAUUUGGGUAUUGGAGCAGGUGGAUGGCCCGGAAGGAAGGUCCGUUCAGACUGUUGGGGGUGCGCGUACAACUGUCCGAGUCAACAAUGCCAUACAUGCCUGUAUGCCAUCUCAGUAUCAUUACGAAACCCAUUACGAUGAUAUGUGUUGUGUUGGGUAGAUAUCCCUUCCAGAUACUUUUAGAAACUAUUUAAAAAAACACAACGGGUCUAUCGAUUGGCACCUGAAAAAAUCAUAAGUGUAUCUGAAUCUAUGCUAUGUGAUCUGCUGUCCGAAACCUAUGUUAUGGAUAAAUUGGACGAGAUAGGCAGAAAAUAUGUGGCCCCUGAACACCAGAGUGAGAUAAUUGAAGCAACGCGGUUGUGGCAUCGUACAUUGGAGUGGCAUCGUGCGUUGUAGGUUACAUACCGUAAUUUAUAAUGGGUAAUUUGAUUUAUUUUGCUUAUGAUGUGUUUAGUGAUUCUGUAUCAAAUAGGCUUGCUGUUUUGAUUCAUAGUAUGGUAGCAAAUGAUGCUUUUAUCAAUCAUAAUACUUUUAUCAGACGUGUGUAUAAGGAUUGUACGGAACCCGUAAAGGGUCAUGAAAAAAAAAAGAAAAGUAUCCCGUGAGCACGAGAAAGUAUCUCGUGCGCACGAGAAAGUAUGUUGUGCGCACGAGAAAGAAUCGUAGGCCUACUCAUAUCACUGGCAGUGUGUGUGUGUGUGUGUGUGUGUGUGUG